ACUUUAAUAACUGCGGUUAUCGACUGAAAUAUCGAUAUUAGAGAGAACCCGUUUAUUAUUUGAGAGAGAGAGUAGGAUAAAACUAGUUAGAACCGUUCUUUGAAAAUAACAAAUGGUCGAUGUCUUAAAUUGUCAUCAAACUCGUUAAAAAAAAAUAGAAUUAAAUAAAUGAACGUUAUUCAAGAAAAACUAAUAAAUCUUUACACACAAGUAAGUAUUGAUCAAAAUUAUAGGAAACUCUUGUGAGUUGUUCUUUGAGUUUGAUUCUUUGAAUUUUCUUUUUGUAGGUUAUGUUAAAUAAUAAAAUAAAAUUAUCAUCCGACUCACUGUGAAAAAGAAAGGAUUGGAGUUCAAUGUGGUAUCUGGAUUAUGGAUUGUCUCUUGUGUUCGGGGCACUAACUAAUUUUCUGGAUUGUCUACAGGAUUCUUCUUACGGGAAAUUGAACUGUUUGUUCUUCGGAAAUAGGGUCUUGGAUGAUCUCGAAGAAGUAUCGGUAGUUCUUGGAAUAGGUUGUAGGAUGAUUCUCUUUUUAUUUUAAUAUUACAUACAUUGGAGUACACGCCAAAUUUCAACAAUGAGUAAAGUUAGAAAAAUUCAAAUUUAAAUCAAGGAUUUCUUUCUCAAAAUAACGUUAAAACCUCAAAAGAUGGAUGAAAAAUGUGCUUUAGGAGCUGAACUAUAAUAAUUGAUACAUUUGGAAGUAAACAAAACGGUUUAAGAUAAGAUUUUCACCAACAAAAAAUCUCUCUGUCACAAAUUCUAGGUUAUGUUCUCUCGGUGAACUAAGAGAAUGUUAAAAUUAUUACAGUAUAUUA